rnacentral:lncRNA from 1 species
GGAGCGAAAUUACCUCGCCGGCAAGGGCCAACCACUAGGAUCUCUCCUGCUAACGGAAGCACACCGACCGAGUUGCAGACUGCCAGAGGCCCGACCACCUGCCUCCCGGCUCAAAAUCCCUGGUGGACCGCCCCUCGCUUCCUCCAAGCCACCCGAUCUGAUCGCCGGAUGAGCCGAAGGCACUCGCAGAAAGUGAUCAGAGAAAUUUCUCACUGCUCCGCCCGCCGUGGGUACCACACUGGUCGGCCGAAGCACAGACAAUCUUCCCCGCCGGACGCCGCUUGGGCACCGCCGACUAGCCGUUAGCUUUCUCUCACUACACCAGAGCUUCUCGCUCUGAAACUAUCCGUUAACAUUCAAUAUGCUUUCCCACGCCCUCCAUCUCUGUGAUGACCUUUCAUGGAGCAGGAGAAAUAAGUGAGGGGCUGACUCCCAUCUCUUUCGAUUCCUGUGUUUCCACCAGCCCCUGAAGGGCCUUGUUCAUUUAC